UGCGGCGGAUUAGGUAGUUGGUGGGGUAACGGCCUACCAAGCCGAUGAUCCGUAGGGGGCGUGAGAGCGUGGCCCCCCACACUGGCACUGAGACACGGGCCAGACUCCUACGGGAGGCAGCAGUGAGGAAUAUUGCACAAUGGGCGCAAGCCUGAUGCAGCAACGCCGCGUGAGGGACGAAGGCCUUCGGGUUGUAAACCUCUUUUCUGAGGGACGAGGAAGGACGGUACCUCAGGAAUAAGUCUCGGCUAACUACGUGCCAGCAGCCGCGGUAAAACGUAGGAGGCGAGCGUUAUCCGGAUUUACUGGGCGUAAAGCGCGCGCAGGUGGCUUCGUGAGUCGGACAUGAAAGCUCCUGGCUUAACUGGGAGAGGCUGUUCGAUACUGCGGGGCUUGAGGUUGGGAGAGGGACGCGGAAUUCCCGGUGUAGUGGUGGAAUGCGUAGAUAUCGGGAGGAACACCAGUGGCGCAAGCGGCGUCCUGGCCCACACCUGACGCUGAGGUGCGAAAGCGUGGGUAGCAAACAGGAUUAGAUACCCUGGUAGUCCACGCCGUAAACGAUGUCAACUGGGUGUCGGUAGUUUUACACUAGCGGUGCCGAAGCUAACGCG
rnacentral:rRNA from 1 species